rnacentral:rRNA from 1 species
GUGAACGCUGGCGGUAGGCCUAACACAUGCAAGUCGAACGGCAGCACAGUAAGAGCUUGCUCUUACGGGUGGCGAGUGGCGGACGGGUGAGGAAUACAUCGGAAUCUACUUUUUCGUGGGGGAUAACGUAGGGAAACUUACGCUAAUACCGCAUACGACCUACGGGUGAAAGCAGGGGAUCUUCGGACCUUGCGCGAUUGAAUGAGCCGAUGUCGGAUUAGCUAGUUGGCGGGGUAAAGGCCCACCAAGGCGACGAUCCGUAGCUGGUCUGAGAGGAUGAUCAGCCACACUGGAACUGAGACACGGUCCAGACUCCUACGGGAGGCAGCAGUGGGGAAUAUUGGACAAUGGGCGCAAGCCUGAUCCAGCCAUACCGCGUGGGUGAAGAAGGCCUUCGGGUUUUAAAGCCCUUUUGUUGGGAAAGAAAAGCAGCAGGUUAAUACCCCGCUGUUCUGACGGUACCCAAAGAGUAAGCACCGGCUAACUUCGUG